GUCUGAUGACUGCAGUUUUAAAGGUUUUUACAAAACUGGCUAGAUUCCCCACGCUAGGGAGAGAAGCAGUAAGCGUACUUAAAGGGCUGGAGGCAGUGUCUGGCUGGGACUUACAGAUCUUCCAGAAAGCCAAGGGAGAGGCCAUGGUAGAGUGGGGCGGAAGGUUCUUUGGAGAUCUGGCAUGAUGAGGCAAAGACUUGUACAGGGAAAAGGGGCAAGAGGUGAAGUUUGUAAUAGAUACCUGUUCAAUCUGUUAGGGUGUUAACCCCUGUAGCCUGGUGAGCAGGGAGGAGGGAUGGACUCUGUGAUAUCCAGAUUAAAGCCAUUGAUGGGAAAGCAAAAGAAGACAUGCUGUUAAUUUCGCCUUACAGAGAUGAGAGCUGUGCUGGGGCAUGUUAGAAGCAGCUACUGCCUCCAGCAGCUCCAGGGCCUGGGGUUCCUCCUGCCCAGCUCCUGGAGCCCAGCUUGUUAUGCCCAUCCCAGGCUGAUGGAUGUGGCUGCUGCUUUCCCAUUUGCAGGCACAGGACACUGACGGGGACGGCUACACAAAUGGCCACAGACAAGGUGCUGCCUUCAGCUGUGACUCCUACUUGUAGGACUUGCGGAAGACCUAAGUACAGACCAGCUGGUCCAGCAUGACAUUUGCAAGCCAAUAACACACACACACA